UACGGAGGGUGCAAACGUUGCUCGGAAUUAUUGGGCGUAAAGCGCACGUAGGCGGCUUAGCAAGUUGGAUGUGAAAUCCCUCGGCUCAACCAAGGAAGUGCAUCCAAAACUGCUGAGCUUGAAUACUUAAGAGGAUCGCGGAAUUCCCGGUGUAGAGGUGAAAUUCGUAGAUAUCUGCAGGAACACCCGUGGCGAAAGCGGCGCGCUGGACCACUACUGACGCUGAGGAACGAAAGCUAGGGGAGCAAACAGG
rnacentral:rRNA from 1 species